rnacentral:rRNA from 1 species
AACGAACGCUGGUGGCAGGCCUAACACAUGCAAGUCGAGCGAAGCCUUCGGGCUUAGCGGCGGACGGGUGAGUAACGCGUGGGAACGUGCCCUUUGGUACGGAAUAGCCCCGGGAAACUGGGAGUAAUACCGUAUGUGGUCGAGAGACGAAAGAUUUAUCGCCAAAGGAUCGGCCCGCGUUGGAUUAGGUAGUUGGUGGGGUAAUGGCCUACAAAGCUGACGAUCCAUAGCUGGUUUGAGAGGAUGAUCAGCCACACUGGGACUGAGACACGGCCCAGACUCCUACGGGAGGCAGCAGUGGGGAAUCUUAGACAAUGGGGGAAACCCUGAUCUAGCCAUGCCGCGUGAUCGAUGAAGGCCUUAGGGUUGUAAAGAUCUUUCAGUGGGGAAGAUAAUGACUGUACCCACAGAAGAAGCCCCGGCUAACUCCGUGCCAGCCGCCGCGGUAAUAC